rnacentral:lncRNA from 1 species
AUGAAAAAUGGCAGAUCUGGAAUUCCUGGGGCCACAUUCCAGGGACUGGACACCGGCUGCUUCCUGAGGAUGCGGGUGGAGGAGCUUCUGACUUCACAGCCCCUGCAGGCCCUGAUGUCCAGUUCUACCCACAGACAGGACAGGACUGUUGUAGCCUUCAUGCCUGGUCUAAGCAGCCUCUCAGGAACCCCCUGAGCCCUGGAGUCCACACAACUCCAAAGCAGCUCAGUUAGGGGAGAGUCAGGGACCCCCAAAUGCUAAGUACCCAGACAUUCUUCAGACCUCUACAUAAUUCAGGCUUAAAAAUGACCUAGGUUGAGUCUGCUGUCAUGUUUUUGGGAUGAAGAUGAAAAGAGAAGUGAAAGUGUCUAAAGAGAAGAGCUCUUCCAUUUCUUGCACUGCUGAACUUGUGAAGAUUCCUAUCCUGUUCAUAAGUAGGAGACCAAGAAGUGGAGAGAGAGGAGAGAGGAAGUAAAAAGAAUCAAGCUGUGUUCUGUACAUCUACCAACUACCCAUGAUGAAUGUAGUCACUAUAUAUUGCACAUUUGUACUAAUAAAAAAUUUUUAAAGUUAAUUAAAUGUAUUGCUGGUGCCUACUGUUGUCAGGCAUUGCUGUAGCCACAGGGUGGUGGCAAGGGGAUGGCCACCAACAAGAUGACGAAAGCCAC